rnacentral:rRNA from 1 species
UCCAAUCGAACCCGGAGAUAGCUGGUUCUCCCCGAAAUAGCUUUAGGGCUAGCGUCGCAGCGAGAGAGCCGUGAAGGUAGAGCACUGAAUAUGCGAUGGCCGCAUCCCGCGGUACUGAGCAUAAUCAAACUCCGAAUGUCACGGUGUCAUCUGCGGCAGUCAGACGGCGAGUGAUAAGGUCCGUCGUCAAGAGGGAAACAGCCCAGACCAUCAGCUAAGGUCCCAAAGUGCAUGCUAAGUGGAAAAGGAAGUGGAGACGUGCAGACAACUAGGAGGUUGGCUCAGAAGCAGCCAUCCUUCAAAGAGUGCGUAACAGCUCACUAGUCGAAUGACUCUGCGCCGAUAAUUUACCGGGGCUAAGCAUGACACCGAAGCUAUGGACAGGAAUGUGGUAGGGGAGCAUUGCAUGCAGCGGAGAAGCAUGACCGAAAGGGCAUGUGGAGCGCAUGGAAGAGAGAAUGCCGGCGUGAGUAGCGGCACGUGGGUGAGAAUCCCACGCACCGAUGGCCCAAGGUCUCCAGAGGAAGGCUCGUCCUCUCUGGGAUAGUCGGGACCUAAGGCGAGGCCGAAAGGCGUAGCCGAUGGACGACGGGUGGAUAUUCCCGUACCCGAUGUGUGGCGAUGGAGUGACGGAGAAGGCUCAGGCAACCAGCUGAUGGAAUAGCUGGGGCAAGCGAGAUACCUGCGCACCAGGGAAAUCCGGUGCGCAUAAGGGGAAGGCGCGAUGCAUACGGAAAGCUUCGGCAAGUACGGAAAAGCUGAGAGCAGGCUUCCAGGAAAAGCUUCUAGCACAACACACAUCGGCCCGUACCGAAAAUGGACACACAUGGGCAAGGAGAGAAUCCUGAGGUGAGCGAGAGAACUAUAGCUAAGGAACUCUGCAAAAUGACCCCGUAACCUAGGGAGAAGGGGUGCUCCAGAAAUGGAGCCGCAGUAAAACGGCCCAAGCGACUGUUUACCAAAAACACAGCUCUCUGCGAAGGCGCAAGCCGAAGUAUAGGGGGUGACGCCUGCCCGGUGCUGGAAGGUCAAGGGGAGCUGUCAGCGCAAGCGAAGCAGCGAGCCGAAGCCCCAGUAAACGGCGGCCGUAACUAUAACGGUCCUAAGGUAGCGAAAUUCCUUGUCGGGCAAGUUCCGACCCGCACGAAAGGCGUAACGAUUUGGGCGCUGUCUCAGCUGUAGACUCGGUGAAGUCUUAGUACCUGUGAAGAUGCAGGUUGCCCGCGACUAGACGGAAAGACCCCAUGGAGCUUCACUGCAGGUUGACAUUGGGCUUGGAUGCAUGAUGUACAGGAUAGGUGGGAGGCUGUGAGCCGUGCGCGCCAGCGUACGGGGAGCCGCUGUUGGGAUACCACCCUUCAUGCAUCUAGGUCCUAACCGGAGGCAACGGGCCACGGGACAGUGUCAGUCGGGCAGUUUGACUGGGGCGGUCGCCUCCCAAAGAGUAACGGAGGCGCCCAAAGAUACCCUCAGCAUGGAUGGAAACCAUGCAUAGAGUGCAAAGGCAUAAGGGUGUCUGACUGCGAGACAUACAGGUCGGGCAGGGACGAAAGUCGGGCUUAGUGAUCCGGCGGAUCCGAAUGGAAGGGCCGUCGCUCAACGGAUAAAAGCUACCCUGGGGAUAACAGGCUGAUCUCCCCCAAGAGUCCACAUCGACGGGGAGGUUUGGCACCUCGAUGUCGGCUCAUCGCAUCCUGGGGCUGAAGUAGGUCCCAAGGGUUGGGCUGUUCGCCCAUUAAAGCGGUACGCGAGCUGGGUUCAGAACGUCGUGAGACAGUUCGGUCCCUAUCUGUCGUGGGCGCAGGAGGUUUGAGGAGAGCUGCCCCUAGUACGAGAGGACCGGGGUGGACGGACCGAUGGUGCACCAGUUGUCACGCCAGUGGCACAGCUGGGCAGCCAAGUCCGGACGGGAUAAGCGCUGAAGGCAUCUAAGCGUGAAGCCCCCUCCAAGAUGAGACCUCCCAUUGGCGACAAGUAAGGCCCCUCGAAGACGACGAGGUUGAUAGGCCGCGAGUGCAAGCGCAGCGAUGUGCUUAGCGGGGCGGUACUAAUAGGCCGAGGACUUGGCCAA